GGGGGCCAUCGGCCGAUCGCCUUGAGUUGAUCAUGGCUCAGAUUGAACGCUGGCGGCAUGCUUUACACAUGCAAGUCGAGCGGCAGCGCGGGGGCAACUCUGGCGGCGAGCGGCGAACGGGUGAGUAAUGCAUCGGAACGUGUCCUGGAGUGGGGGAUAACCCGGCGAAAGCCGGGCUAAUACCGCAUACGCUCUGAGGAGGAAAGCGGGGGACCGGUAACGGCCUCGCGCUCGUGGAGCGGCCGAUGUCCGAUUAGGUAGUUGGUGGGGUAAUGGCCUACCAAGCCUGCGAUCGGUAGCUGGUCUGAGAGGAUGAUCAGCCACACUGGGACUGAGACACGGCCCAGACUCCUACGGGAGGCAGCAGUGGGGAAUUUUGGACAAUGGGGGCAACCCUGAUCCAGCCAUGCCGCGUGCGGGAAGAAGGCCUUCGGGUUGUAAACCGCUUUUAGCCGGAAAGAAAAGGGCGGGGCUAAUACCCCUGUUUAUUGACGGUACCGGCGGAAUCGGCACCGGCUAACUACGUGCCAGCAGCCGCGGUAAUACGUAGGGUGCGAGCGUUAAUCGGAAUUACUGGGCGUAAAGCGUGCGCAGGCGGUUCGUUGUGUCUGUGGUGAAAGCCCCGGGCUUAACCUGGGAAUGGCCAUGGAAACUGGCGAGCUGGAGUCUGGCAGAAGGGGGUGGAAAUCCGCGUGUAGCAGUGAAAUGCGUANAGAUGCGGAGGAACACCGAUGGCGAAAGCAGCCCCCUGGGUCAGACUGACGCUCAGGCACGGAAGCGUGC
rnacentral:rRNA from 1 species